UACAGAGGGGGCAAGCGUUGUUCGGAAUUACUGGGCGUAAAGGGCGCGUAGGCGGCCUGUUAAGUCGAACGUGAAAUCCCCGGGCUCAACCCGGGAACUGCGUCCGAUACUGGCAGGCUUGAAUUCGGGAGAGGGAUGCGGAAUUCCAGGUGUAGCGGUGAAAUGCGCAGAUAUCUGAAGGAACACCGGUGGCGAAGGCGGCAUCCUGGACCAACACUGACGCUGAGGAGCGAAAGCCAGGGGAGCAAACGGG
rnacentral:rRNA from 1 species